rnacentral:rRNA from 1 species
UACGAAGGGGGCUAGCGUUGCUCGGAAUCACUGGGCGUAAAGCGCGCGUAGGCGGAUUGCUAAGUCAGGGGUGAAAUCCUGGAGCUCAACUCCAGAACUGCCCUUGAUACUGGCGGUCUCGAGUCCGGGAGAGGUGAGUGGAACUGCGAGUGUAGAGGUGAAAUUCGUAGAUAUUCGCAAGAACACCAGUGGCGAAGGCGGCUCACUGGCCCGGUACUGACGCUGAGGUGCGAAAGCGUGGGGAGCAAACAGG